rnacentral:rRNA from 1 species
GACGAACGCUGGCGGCGUGCCUAAUACAUGCAAGUCGAACGCAGUUGGGACGGGUGAGUAACACGUGGGUAACCUCCCAUCAGAGGGGAUAACACUUGGAAACAUGUGCUAAACCGCUAUUGCUGGAUGGACCCGCGGUUCAUUAGCUAUUUGGUGAGGUAACGGCUCACCAAGGCCACGAUGCAUAGCCGACCUGAGAGGGUGAGAGGCCAAACUGGGAUUGAGACACGGCCCAGACGCCUACGGGAGGCAGCAGUAGGGAAUCUUCGGCAAUGGACGAAAGUCUGACCGAGUAACGCCGCGUGAGUGAAGAAGGUUUUAGGAUCGUAAAACUCUGUUGUUAGAGAAGCGGUAUCUAACCAGAAAGCCACGGCUAACUACGUGCCAGCAGCCGCGGUAAUUC